UUAAACACUGAUCAAAGCUCAAGAGAGAGUGAAUGCACCAAGGAAACAAUGUCUUAUUUAGUGAAAACAUGGUUUUGUGAAGAAACUUAAAUCUGAGAAGAACACAGAACAGUAGAUACACUGGUGACUUGAAAUAAAGAUACCAUCUACAAGUAUGCAGCUUCAAAGCUUCAGUGCCAGCCAUACUUCACAAGAAUUUUGUCACAGUUACUUCCAAGUAACAAUGGCAAAGGAAACCCAGUCCUUACCUUGGUGGUCAGAUCCUGUUCAGCAGGCAGAGUCUCUCUCAGGGCUCGCAGACCGUGUUUAACUAGCUCAUUUAGAUUACCUUAAAAUGGAAUCAGAAAGACAUUGACAAACUAUAUGAUUUACAGUUAUGCCAAACUUGGCUCACAAUAUUUAUCUUCAGCUCACUCAAAGCAAAAGGAUGGAGUGGCAGCAGGAGACAAACUGCAGAACUGAUGAACACCAGUGGGCAGAGAGAGUUCCAUUACUCACACUCAGUGAACUCAGUCAUGUGCCUCUCCAAGUAAGUUCGUGCUGACUGUGAACGAGCACCAAUGGACAUUGCUUUGCAGUCAAAAUAGUUUGCAGAGGGACAAGUUUGGAAGAUGUGAGGGCCCAUAUCCUACAAAGAGAGAAGAAAGCCCCCACACAAUGUUAAACAAACAUAUAAAUUCACACCAACUCUGCUGCUAGAGCACGAAAUUUUCUAAAAGAAUUUUACUUCAUGGUACAUCACACCUACAUGUGUGCACAGAAAUGUAUUUUAUAUAUAUUUUAUAUUGCUGAUCAUAUUACUGUUCUUAUGCAAUUCCUUCAACCCUGUUGUUUAAAAAACCACAACAACAAUUUAAAAAAAACCAAACAGAAACCUCUUUUUUUCCACUUUGCUCAUCUGCAGCUUUUCAAUGGACAGGA